rnacentral:rRNA from 1 species
AUUGAACGCUGGCGGCAGGCCUAACACAUGCAAGUCGAACGAGUGGCGGACGGGUGAGUAAUGUCUGGGAAACUGCCCGAUGGAGGGGGAUAACUACUGGAAACGGUAGCUAAUACCGCAUACCAUCGGAUGUGCCCAGAUGGGAUUAGCUAGUAGGUGGGGUAACGGCUCACCUAGGCGACGAUCCCUAGCUGGUCUGAGAGGAUGACCAGGCAAAAUGGAACUGGGACACGGUCCAGACUCCUACGGGAGGCAGCAGUGAGGAAUAUUGAACAAUGGGCGCAAGCCUGAUGCGGCCAUGCCGCGUGUAUGAAGAAGGCCUUCGGGUUGUAAAGUACUUUCGGCGAGGAGGCGUUACCCGCAGAAGAAGCACCGGCUAACUCCGUGCCAGCAGCCGCGGUGAUUC